rnacentral:rRNA from 1 species
AGAGUUUGAUCCUGGCUUAGGACGAACGCUGGCGGCGUGCUUCAUACAUGCAAGUCGAACGAGAAUCUUACUUCGGUAAGAGGAAAGUGGCGGACGGGUGAGUAAUAUGUAGAGAAUCUGCCCUUAAGCGGGGGACAACAGUUGGAAACGACUGCUAAUACCCCAUAUGAGCGUACCUGAAAUGGUAUUCUUGAAAACUCCGGUGCUUAAGGAUGAGUCUGCAUCUGAUUAGCUAGUUGGGGUGUAAUGGACCACCAAGGCGACGAUCAGUAGCUGGUUUGAGAGGAUGAUCAGCCACAAUGGGACUGAGACACGGCCCAUACUCCUACGGGAGGCAGCAGUAGGGAAUUUUGCGCAAUGGGCGAAAGCCUGACGCCAGCAACGCCGCGUGAACGAGAAGCCCUUCGGGGUGUAAAGUUCUGUCAGUAGGGACGAACAAUGACUGUACCUACAGAGGAAGCACCGGCUAACUCCGUGCCAGCAGCGGC